GUCCCAAUAGCUAAGUGGUUAUAGCAUGCGAUUGCAGUGAAGAAAUAUCGCGGGGUCGGGUGUUCGAAUCACCCUUGGGACU
rnacentral:tRNA from 1 species